rfam:Agrilus planipennis Contig17064, whole genome shotgun sequence.
UGUUAGUGAUGAUUCUUAUAUUUCACCAUCUUUCGACUGAAAUAAUUGUGAUGCUUUUAUUUACCUGAGACAGAUA